rnacentral:rRNA from 1 species
UAGAGUUUGAUCCUGGCUCAGAACGAACGCUGGCGGCAGGCUUAACACAUGCAAGUCGAGCGCCCCGCAAGGGGAGCGGCAGACGGGUGAGUAACGCGUGGGAAUCUACCUUUUGCUACGGAAUAACUCAGGGAAACUUGUGCUAAUACCGUAUGUGCCCUUCGGGGGAAAGAUUUAUCGGCAAAGGAUGAGCCCGCGUUGGAUUAGCUAGUUGGUGAGGUAAAGGCUCACCAAGGCGACGAUCCAUAGCUGGUCUGAGAGGAUGAUCAGCCACACUGGGACUGAGACACGGCCCAGACUCCUACGGGAGGCAGCAGUGGGGAAUAUUGGACAAUGGGCGCAAGCCUGAUCCAGCCAUGCCGCGUGAGUGAUGAAGGCCCUAGGGUUGUAAAGCUCCUUCACCGGUGAAGAUAAUGACGGUAACCGGAGAAGAAGCCCCGGCUAACUUCGUGCCAGCAGCCGCGGUAA